rnacentral:lncRNA from 8 species
UCCAUUGUUAACAUUGUUCUUAAUUGAUCUAAAACAUGCAUAUGAGACUUUUUCUGACACCCUUAACAUCAGAAUAAAAGGCUGGCACUCAAUGUUACACUUAAAACAGAGCCAUGUUGCCUACUGUUUCAUGCUUUCAUUUGAAUGUUCUGUUUAUUUUAGGUUUCUUCACCGUUGGGUCAGCCCAGUGUAUUACAUUGUACGAUGGGGGAAAUAGCACCCAUGGAAACUCCACCGGUGGAAUGUGAAACAGGACUGAGGGUUCGUGUGAUCAUGUGAGUUUCCACACUAAAUGUUACACUUCAAUAUAAAUCCCCAAAUACCUCACUGAAAAUUGCUAAACAAGAGAUUCAUAUUUGCAUCUCUGUAUCUAUAUAUUUUUUAGUUUUCAAAUGCUACAUUUGACAGCUUCCUAAGCUGUGCUGAGCUGAGGAGGAUUAAUGUCACCCAGGAGCACUUUGACAGGCUCAAAGAAGUUAUGUACGUGGCCUUUCAAUUCUACCCAGACUCCUUCAUGGUACAGUACAACAAGAAAGAGACAUUUGAUCAACAUUUUCAGUGGGAAAUUGACAAAAUACCUUGAAUGUGUUAUGAAAGCAUGAAGUGGACUUUGUGCUUUAUGUUGACGUCACUGUUAUUUCCCAUACAGAGGUUGAGCAGGGAUCUGCAGCCCAUCCUGGAGCUGAUCAAGGGGCUCAGCUUCAAUGCCUCUAAGCCCAGGUUCCACGACGUCAACUUCACCAGAGUGUGGUUCCAGCUCAAGCUCAGGCCACGCCUGGCCUCUGUCACCGAAAGCCUCCUCGCCUGUCUCAGCACCAGCGGCCUCACCUGCCAGACCUACCAGGCACUUGUGAAUGAAUUGGAUAUGAAUAUCCUGAGUAUGGACCCUCAACGCCAACGGAUAGUUUACACGUCCUUCAUGUGCAGGUUUCUAGAGAGACAUUAUACAGCAGGUAGGCUAUUGAUUUAAUUAUUAAUGGAUAUUGACACUCAAUAUAUUGGAAUUUAUGACAUUUUGCUGAAUGCGGCAAUCUGUAGGAUGUGAUUGAGAGUUCUGUUUGUGUUCUGAAAAAGGAUGCCUCGUCCAUGGGAACAGCAGUGAGCAGUGGCUGAUGCGGAACUUCAGAUCCUUCUCUACCUUGGUUGACUAUGAAGACUUCUUUGCACUGAAUAUUCAUUUCAGUGGUGUAAGUGUUUAACUUUAUGGGGGCUCUUAAUAAAGCAGGGACUGUAAUGUCGGGAAGAUACAAGAUGUCAUUAAGAUGUUAUAGGACGGUACAGGAAGUUCAUGACCAAUUAAUACCAUUGUUCUCUCUCCCAUAGCUAUCAGUCCUGGCACUGCUGAGCCAGGAACAGAAGGCUGAGUUGGUUCUUCACCCCGGAAAUGGAGGCCUGGACAAUGGCACCAUCAGCCUGGUCUUCCAGAGUCUGCUUGGGCCUCUAAUAAACAAUGCUCACCUGAAUCAGUCAAUGUACAAUGCAACAAUGAUGUCCAACAUGAUUGCUGGCAAUGCCACAGGACCACAUGAACUUGAUAGAGUGGGUUAUGUGUCUUUUAUUUUAUUUAUUUUUUAUUUGGUUCCCAAUUAGCUUUUGCAGAAGCAUCAGUUACUCGCCCUGGGGUCCACAAAAAAACACAAAACAUGACAAGAAAAAAAACACUGAUAGACAAGGACAGUCACACAAAUUUCAAAUACAAAGAUAUAAUAAAACAAUACAACAACAAAAAUGAUGUGUGUGUGUGCGUGUUUAUCGGUCUCUUUUCUGGGGUGGCAGGUAGCCUAGCGGUCUGUCGACGUGCCUUUGAGC